AGUGGGAUAACUGGGUCAAAUGGUGGUUCCAUUCCAGUUUUUCUGAGGAAUAUCCAUACUGCUUUCCAUAGUGGCUACACCUAUUUGCAUUCCCACUGGCAAU
rnacentral:pre_miRNA from 1 species